GAGAUACCAGAACAAUCUCUCUCUUUCUCCCUCUCCCUCCUUCCCCUUCUCCCCUGCCCCUCCCCCUCUCACUCUCCCACUAGGUGAGGACAUGUGAGGACAGUGGCCCAAGAAGACUGACACAGGGGAUGAUCAGAACCGGAAAUUCAGAAUUUUACAUUAGCUGCCUAGCAUACAGUGGAGUUUAAUGGCAAACCUCUAGCCGGAGAGUUGCGACAAGGUCAGUUGUAACUAUGCUGAAAAUCAGUGUGUAAGAAAUGCAUUCUCCUCCAGCGUGGUCCUAGAACCCUGAAUUUUAGCUAGGCACAUUACCCAACAUAAGAACUCUAUUUUCCAGAUUUCUUUUAGGUAGUGUGAUUUGGCUAUGUGACAAAGUUGCCCAAGAAGACAUUGGCAGAAGCAUCACGUACAGCAUCCGAGAGAUGUCCAUAAAAAGAGAGGGGACACCCUUCCCCCCCUUCCUCAUUCUUACCGGCUUGAAUGCACAGUCGAUAGCUGGAGCUCAAGCAAUCUUUUUAGAGUAGGAAACCACAUGCCAUGUAAUGCAGAAAAGAGAGAGAAGGGCCUAUGUUUUGACCUCUUGGUGCCAACCUUGGACAAUCUGCCUAUGGACUUCUUUAACGUAAGAGAAAAGUGAACUAACUUGUUUAGGCCACUAUUAUUUAAGGCAGCCCUACUCAGUAUCACUUGGGAGCUUGUUAGAAAUGCAAAUUCUCGAUUCCCACUACAGACCUCCCUAAUCAGAAUCUCUGGGGCCCAGAAGUCUGUGUUUUACCAAGCUCUUCAGGUGAUUCUUGUGCUCUCUAAAGUUUGAGAGGCACCGAUUUAGAGUUUCCCAGCGCAUACACCUAAACUGAUAGCUGAUAAAGUAGUCCUAAAUUGCAGGUUUUGUCAAGGACUUGGUGAAGGCUUAAAAGGCACAUGAUAUAAAGCCAGGAAGGAUGGCAAAGCCAAUAACCGAUAGUGUCAAGAUUUAGAAUGAUCUUGACAGAGUGGAAUACUGGACAAACGCCAAGAAGAUGAAACGUAAUGGGGAUAUAUAAAAAGCAAAUCAAAAUGUUAUUUUUUUAUUGAAGGAAAUAUAAAAUGUUCUUCUGUUUGACUCCUUAAAUUAACAAGAAGAAAUGUAAAAUUGCAUAUUUUAAAGUACAGCAAAUAAUGCUAUAAAUCAAUGCCAAUUAUGGCUAGUGAAAAGAACAAGGGAAGGAGAGAAGAUCCGGAAAGGGAAGAGCACAGAACGCAAAGGAAUAAAGAGACAUAGUCAAGGACAGAGAGGGAGAGAACAGAGGUCCCUCCAUGGGCUCAUUCGUGGAUCCUGAGAUGACCUUCACAGCUGGAGAUACAGACGCUGCGGCAGAGAGAGGUUGAGUAAGUUUCCCAAGACCACACAGCUGGCACAAGGUAGAAGUGGGAUAUGAACCCAGGUGACCAGGGUUCAGGGCUGUGGCCCCUCAGUUGUUCUGGUGUCUCUAGCCUUUGCUGCUGCCCCACUCUUCUGACUGACUGAUUACUUUCUACUGGUUAAAGGCCUCCCAUAAAAAUAAGGAAAUCCACUAUCUCACAUGACUGUUAAGUGCAGAGGUAGGGUGGGAUCCAGGGGCAGCAUCAUAAUGAGCUCAAAGAUGUCAUCACAGAUACAAGUUUUUCCAUUCCUGUGUGCUGUUGUCCUGAGCAUCUGGGUUUAUCCUAAAGCUGGAUCCCCCUCAUAGUUCCAAGACAGCGGCCAACAGUCUCGAAGCCUUGUGCUGUCUUUUUCAUGGCCAACAAGGAAGAGAAAUCUUUGCCCUAAGCAUGGAAUAUACUGGAAUAUAAGUCCUUUAAUGCAGUUUUAUUGUACCAAUGUAGGCAAAUGGCCAUUCUUAGACAAUAGGGGGCCAUCAAGGGGAAUACUAUGAAUUGAUUGUGAUUGAUUACUCAGGACCUACCCCUGAAUUAGGGAUGGGGCCAACCAAGUCAGGACUCUACGCUACCCAGGACAAAUGGGUUCCACUAUUUGUUGUGAUUCCCUCUCCCUUUUCUUCUAAAGCAAAUUAAGUUUCCUCAUCUGUUUGAACCCUAGCAAAAUAAUAAAAUACUGACAAAUUCAUAAAAUAUUCACUAGAGAGCAGCUAGGAUAUAAAACCGUAAUCCCCUCUUUCCAACUCUUCAACAGCCUUCUUAACCUUGUGUUUUUGGGCUGAAGCCCUCUUGCUCUCCCUUGGCAGGUGUAAUUGUGUUCGGUAAGGGGGGGGUCGCACGUGGUGGCGGUAGCAGGUGCUUUAGGAGGAAGGAAGUAUCCAGCGUUUACUGAAUGUCCAGGUGCCAAGAAUGAUGCCUUCUUGCACCAUUGCUUCGUUAUUUAUUUCAGUCAUUACAAGGAGAUAGUAUUAUCCCCACGUGAUACAUGAGAGAACCAAGGCCCAGAACCAUUGUGUGUUUGCUCAUGGUCAUUCAGGUAGUCAAGUGGCAGAGGUGGAUUUCAAGCUCGAGUCUGUCUGAUUCUAUUACCCAAGUUCUUACCACCACACCACACGACCCAAUCCGGGAUCGUCUCCAUUUGCUGACAUAAUUAGCAUCGAACUUUUUAACUGAGAUUCCUUGGCUAUGUCUCUCUGCUCUCUGGCUCAUGUUAGUUGUGAGAACUACUCUCAGUUUCUAGCAUACUUUAUAAAAAUUUCUCCUUACUGAACACUUACUAUGUGCCAAAAACUGUGCUAACUGCUUUACGUGUACAACCUCCGUUUACCCUGUCGAUAACCCUGUGAUCCAGUUUAUGAUGCAGAAUGCCUUUAGUUGCAAGUGGUGGAAUCCAAAACCAAACAUCCUGUGCCAAUGGCCACAUCCACAAUUCUCUUCUAGUUCGACUCUCUCUGGACUUAAUUAACUCAGACUGAACACACAGACACUAGCUGGGACAGGCCAGCCUGUGGCAGAGGAAGAAGAAAAAUCGGGCACAUGUUCCUGUGCUUAGAAAUGGCAUGUGUACUUCCAGUCACAUGCCAUUCACCCAAACAAGUUGUAGAGUCAAGCCUGACUUCAAUGGGUGAAAAAUCUUCUCUCCCAGGAAAAGGCAGCAUAGAGACGCAUGGUGAAGACAGCAGAUGUUUUUAAGCAAAUAAUACAACCUACCCAGCAGUGUUCUGAAAUUCUUAUUAAGGACUUGGCUCUCCUCCAAGAAAAAUAAGGUAGCUAUCAUUCAGAACUCUUGCAUUCCAAAUGACUCCUGAUAGGAGCUGCUUGGAAUGACUUUUGUAGCUCUCCUGGAAGCUUGGAUACCAUUGUCAUGUGACAGAACUCACCUCUUUAGUUGCUAAUGCAUUAUAUCUACUGGCCUCAAGCUUGGCCCAAAUUGUCCUUCUAAAAGGAAAGACUGUAAUGGUUUGCCUCGGGGCAAAAUCUUGGCCUGAAGGGUGUGGAUCCUGAGCCCCAUCCUCAAAGAGAACGGAAGGCUCAUUCAACCACGGCUCAGCCUUUCAUCCGGAUUCGGACAUAAAACAACAAAAGGAAAUUUCUGCCACCAACUCCACAAGAAUUCUGGAGGAACUGAAGGGCCGGUCAAACACAGAUGCCUGGCAUGCCACGUAGGUUCAUAGGACAGGCAUCCAAAGAGAUCGUGAUGGUGAUUCAUAGAAUGAACAGCCCACCAUCUUUCCGGGGUCAACUCAUUCAUUCUUCAUGAGUUGCCGUAAAUAGUCCAGAUUUGUUUAUGCCUCUCAACUUAAAAAGAUAAUGAUGAGGAAGAUGCUGAUGCUGGUAAUGAUAAUAGUAAAUAAAAAU